rnacentral:rRNA from 1 species
UACAGAGGUCCCAAGCGUUGUUCGGAUUCAUUGGGCGUAAAGGGUGCGUAGGUGGCAUGGUAAGUCGGAUGUGAAAUCCCGGGGCUCAACCCCGGAACUGCAUUCGAUACUGCUGCGCUAGAGUACUGGAGAGGAGAUUGGAAUUUACGGUGUAGCAGUGAAAUGCGUAGAUAUCGUAAGGAAGACCAGUGGCGAAGGCGGAUCUCUGGACAGUUACUGACACUGAGGCACGAAGGCCAGGGGAGCAAACGGG